rnacentral:rRNA from 1 species
CUACGGGCCGCACCAGUGGGGAAUUUUGCGCAAUGGGGGGAACCCUGACGCAGCAAUACCGCGUGAGUGAAGAAGGCCUUUGGGUCGUAAAGCUCUUUUCUGAAGGAAGAUAGUGACGGUACUUCAGGAAUAAGCACCGGCUAACUCCGUGCCAGCAGCCGCGGUAAUACGGAGGGUGCGAGCGUUGUUCGGAUUUACUGGGCGUAAAGGGCACGUAGGCGGCCUGGCAAGUUAAGGGUGAAAUCCCGGGGCUUAACUCCGGAACUGCUCUUAAAACUGCCAAGCUAGAGAUAGUCAGAGGCGGGUGGAAUUCCUGGUGUAGAGGUGAAAUUCGUAGAUAUCAGGAGGAACACCGGUGGCGAAGGCGGCCCGCUGGGGCUAUUUUGACGCUAAGGUGCGAAAGCGUGGGGAGCGAACGGGAUUAGAUACCCGGGUAGUC